CGAUGAACCUCACUUGUGGGGGGAUUAGUGGCGAACGGGUGAGUAACACGUGAGUAACCUGCCCUUAACUCUGGGAUAAGCCUGGGAAACUGGGUCUAAUACCGGAUAUGACUCCUCAUCGCAUGGUGGGGGGUGGAAAGCUUUUUGUGGUUUUGGAUGGACUCGCGGCCUAUCAGCUUGUUGGUGAGGUAAUGGCUUACCAAGGCGACGACGGGUAGCCGGCCUGAGAGGGUGACCGGCCACACUGGGACUGAGACACGGCCCAGACUCCUACGGGAGGCAGCAGUGGGGAAUAUUGCACAAUGGGCGCAAGCCUGAUGCAGCGACGCCGCGUGAGGGAUGACGGCCUUCGGGUUGUAAACCUCUUUCAGUAGGGAAGAAGCGAAAGUGACGGUACCUGCAGAAGAAGCGCCGGCUAACUACGUGCCAGCAGCCGCGGUAAUACGUAGGGCGCAAGCGUUAUCCGGAAUUAUUGGGCGUAAAGAGCUCGUAGGCGGUUUGUCGCGUCUGCCGUGAAAGUCCGGGGCUCAACUCCGGAUCUGCGGUGGGUACGGGCAGACUAGAGUGAUGUAGGGGAGACUGGAAUUCCUGGUGUAGCGGUGAAAUGCGCAGAUAUCAGGAGGAACACCGAUGGCGAAGGCAGGUCUCUGGGCAUUAACUGACGCUGAGGAGCGAAAGCAUGGGGAGCGAACAGGAUUAGAUACCCUGGUAGUCCAUGCCGUAAACGUUGGGCACUAGGUGUG
rnacentral:rRNA from 1 species